AACUGCUUCUAAGCGCUACAGUGUAUGCGUACGUCAUCAUUACGCCGUAAAUCUCCAAACGCAGAAAGUUUUUGCCACUCUUGUUUGUUUGACAAAAGCGGAGAUUUGUAUGUUAGUUUUAACGUGUCUUAUCUUAAACAUUAUUAAUGAUUUGUUGAUAUUUCGUGCAUUAGACACAUCGAGGUGAUUGUUAUUGUACUGUUUACAUUCCUACUCCCCCGAAUUCUGUACGUUCUGUACAUUAAACUCGGCUGUACACGUGUAUUUCAUUUGCUGCUUGGAACUGUUAUAAUCUGUGGGUUUUGCUUUAGUAAGAGUGGAAAUAUUACAUAUACGUAGAAAAGUAAGUCUUAUUCGUUGUUUAAUCUAGAACUACAUUUAUAUAAAAAUACAAAAGCAUUAUAAUAUUUUGUGAGAACGAGGUCUUCGUGCCCACCUCGUUUAUGAGUCAAGAAAGGCAGAGUUGUUUUUGUUGGUGAAAGAAAGUCAUUAUUCCACACUUACACUACUACAGUACGAUUGGAUUGGAUUGAUUCCGAUUUCUGGAUCUUGGAAUGUGACAAGUGCCAAAAGGUUGUUAAGCCUUUGGUUGCUGUUUAGACACUAGAAUGUAUUCAGGUAAAUGUCAUGUCUUUUCAUUUCAUGCCUAAAGUUGCCAGUAAAUACAGCUUCCUGCAGCUGAAUCCUUCCAAGUCUGUCCUUCAGUCAUUAUGCAAAUUUAUGUGAUUUAAUUAUGGCUGUUAAGUGGUAGUAACUUGAAGUCAGUCUGGUGAGUAGUGGCUCCUUAUUUGUGCCUUGUGUAGGUGCCACAGCUGCCCUGUGUUUUUCCUGGCCAUUCUCUAACACAAACCACAUGUCACCUCGGGCCGCUUUGACCAUCGUAACAGUGACCACUGUACAUAUUAUGUAUGUAACAUUUAGUAUUGCACAUAUUAAAAAGGAUCUUCCUCUUAAUAGGUCAGUGAUGUCUGGGAGCUUAUCGGAAUUGAUGUAACAGGGCCUUUCCCAAAAACCACUGAUGGCCUUCAGUACAUUUUGACAGCCACUGACUACUUCUCAAAGUGGGUUGAGGUCUCUUCCCCUUAAAAACAAAAACAGCAUCAGAAGUUGCAAGACGGUUGUGCUCAGUUAUAUACAGACAUGGCUGUCCCAAAAGAAUUAUUUUCGACCAGGGAAGAGAAUUUGUUAAUGAAGUCGGUACCAUUAAAUAUAUAACAACCGGUAAUUUAAGGUUUUGUGAUUACUCUGCAGUCUCUAAAAUUUUGUUUCUUCAUUCUUCAAGAUCAACCAUUCCCUUUGUGAACUGCUGUGCAUUAAGAGGAGUGUAACAGCAGCCUACCACCCCAAACUAAUGGCCUCAAUGAAAAGACCAGUGAUAACAUAAAACGAGCCCUCAAGAAAUUCGUCAACAAUCAGCAGAAUAACUGGGAUACCUAUCUGGAUGCCACACUGUUCUCCUUGCGAUCGAAGAUGCACACAACCACAAAACACUCUCCCUUUCUUUUAAUGUAUGGCAGAGAGGCCGUAUUCCCUUCAGAGGUUCCUGCUGACAUGCCGGUGAGUCCGUCCAAAUUUUAUCACUUGCUGUUUUAGAAGACACUUUUUAAUCCUAACUUUGACAUUUCACUGUAAUGUUAAAAAUAUCUUACUGUGCAUUUACAUUUUGAUGGCAUUCCAUUCCUAAUUAUUUGAAAUUCUAGCUUUCCACUAUCAUUCUCCCUGGAGAGUCUGUGUGUACAGACUUUGUACAAGCCAAAGACAAGACAAUGAAGGCUUUUAAACAGACAACAGAACAAAUUAUUAAAAAGUCACAGGAUAAACAGAAAGCAGCAUAUGCCAAAAGGGUUCAGAAGAAGUACCAACAUGUCAUGUAUGGUGUCGGUGAUGAGCUUCUCCUGUUGAAUAUGAGGAAGUGUGGACGAAAAGGAGGGAGAAUUGAACCAAAUUUCUCCGGUCCAUUUGUAAUUGAAACGGUGUGUGGCAACUUGGUUACAUUAAAAAACCAAGAAGGGUCUACGCUAAAAACAAAAUACAACACAAGUCACCUUAAGCCAUAUAGAAGAAACACGGAUAAUGACAAAUCAGAAAGUUCAACACAUCUGCCAGCUAAAAGUAAUGAAAGUUUCAGCACGCCUCAUGCCCAGUACACUGUGAGUCACCAACCUUUGGCCGAAGAGAAUGAUCAACAGCCUCACGACAGUACAACCCCAAGAAGACCAUCUGUUAUUGCAUAUGCCACAAAAUAUGAAGAACAUAUAGAAGACUCAAAAGAGGCAACAGCAGCCACAGAAGCUGUAGAGCCUGUUCGGUGACAGAGUAAAGUUAGCAGUCAGUUAGAUAUUCACCCGACAUUCACGGAUCUUUCCUUAUUUACUCUAUUAAAACAUUACAAAAAACAAAGAACCACCAUAUUCACAUAAUCAUGUACAUUUGUAAAACUGCACAGACACCUUCCCAAAUAAAAUGACAAGGGAUUUCUUAAAUGGUUAUUACUGAAGACAUGCAACACUUUGAAGCUCCAUUCCAAUGUUUAAUAGACAAAAUCGCAAGUACAUUCAGGGCCCCCUAACACUGGUGAUACUAUAAAAAAUAAUAUGUCCCAUAUUGGGGGGCACAGCGAUGCAGUGGUUAUCACUGUCGCCUUACGUUUCUGGGUCUAGAGUUCAAGUGCUCCCUAGGGUUCCAUGUGUGUGGAAUUUGCAUUUUCUUCCCAUGUUGUCAUGGGGUUUCCUCUAGGAACUCCAGUCCAAAAACAUACUGAGGCUGAAUUCCCCAUAGGUUUGCAUGUGUGAGUGAAUGGUGUGUGAGUGUGCCCUGUGAUGGAUUGGCGCCCCAUCCUGGGUUGUUCCCUGCCUCGUGCCCAUAGGCUGCACCCCCCCCCCCCC